CAAGGAUGGGACCUUUAACUGGACGAGCUGGCUCCUGGUGAAUUUAUCCGCCCACAGGGAAGAUGUGGUUUUCACCUGCCAGGUGCAGCAUGACGGGCAGCCCGCGGUCACCAAAAACCAUACCCUUGUGGUCUCUGCCCACCAGAAGGACCAGGAAACGCAUACGACCCAGGACAAAAAUGAAAGCCAGACCAUCUUCAUUGUGGUGGGCGUGGUUUGUGCCCUGCUGGUGACUCUCGCGAUCGCAGCCCUCUACCUCCUCCGAAUCCGACAGAAGAAAGCCAAGGGCUCCACUUCUUCUACGAGGUUGCAUGAGCCCGAGAAGAAUACCAGAGAAAUAACCCAGAUCCAGGACAACAAUGACAUCACAUACGCAGACUUGAACCUGCCCAAGGGGAAGAAGGCCGCCCCGCGGGCCGCCGAGCCCAACAACCACACAGAGUACGCCAGCAUUCAGACCGGCCCGCCGCCCGCGCCCGAGGACACCCUCACCUACGCCGACCUAGACAUGGUCCACCUCAACCGGGCCCCCAAGCAGCCAGCCCCCAAGCCCGAGCCAUCCUACUCGGAGUAUGCCAGCGUCCAGGUCCAGAGGAAGUGAAUGGGACCGUGGUCGUCUCUAGGGUCUGUCCCCACGAGCCUUCCUGUCCCGUGUGGGACAGCCGUGAUGGGGACAGCCAGCCCAGUUCCCAGAGGGCCGGGAUGGUGCAGGCCCUGGAACUCCAGGAUGAGGCUGGCUCUUGUCUCCCCAACCCACGUGGCUCUUCGACAUUUCCAGGGCAGCCGCAGUCCCCCCACAUCACCACACGCGGAGGCCGAUGUCGCCAGACUGGCCGGGGGACCCACCUGGGAACUGGCCAGAACCGCCAGGGUCCAAGAACCCUCAUGCCUGUCUCCAUCAACAUGCGGGUCUCGGUCACGGUCUUGGAGACCCUGAUUGCCCCCCUUCGUGCUCUGCAGCCUGAUCUUCCAGGGUGAGGAGGGAGACAGCCCCACUUCCUUUUGCCACCACCCACCUGGGGCUUGGGGAAGAUCGUCCCUUUCGAUCGAACUGCCCCGUCCGUGGAGAAGCUGGAAAAAACCCCUCCGGGACCCUCAUCCCAAGACUCGGUGAGACUGCUGCCGAGAGUCCUAGCCUCCCCAUCCCGGGAUUGAUGAGGCGCAAGCCCCGGGGGAGGGGAGGAGCCUCCGAGGAACCCCCACACAGCCGCCACCACCAAGGACUGAGUAACAAAACCCCCCUCCUCCUGGUGGCCCUCCGAGACUCCUUGAGGACCCGCCGUCCCAACCGUGACGCUCCACACGGCCCCUCCUCUCCUUUCUAGACCCGAGCUUGCUUCCUCCAGCUAGCACUAACUCAGCAACAUCUCGCUGCGGACGCCUGUAAAUUAUCGAGAAAUGUGAAAUGUGCAAUCUUGAACCUGAGGUGUUAGAAAAUUUGAUCUGUGGUGUUUCGUUUUGUUUUGGUUUUUUUCUUAAAACGACAGCAACGUUCUCUUGGCUCUUUGUCAUGUGUCGAAGUACCUGGUCGGGUCUUGUGCGGUCUAAGGUUUACCAGUUGGUCGUCCCGGGGGGACCCUCUUACGGCGGAAACUGGGUACCCCCGCGUCCCAGACCCCGAGGAUGGGGAGGAAGGUUGCAGUGCGGCUGCCCCGUGGAGACGCUUAGCCUUCCCUCCAGGGCAAAAUAGGUCACGUUCUCAGCCGAGCCACGUGGCUGGUACUGCGGUCUUCUGUGCCCCCAUCGUGCUAAGUCCAGACCCGCUCAGUGCUCCUCCUCCUGGCUGCGUCCUUCACAGUGCAAGCUUGUCGAGACCCGAGGCCUCAGUUUUCUCAUCCAGAAAGAGGGGAGAGAAAAGAUGCCCCCCUGCUCCCUGGCAUCUUACCAGCGCUGGAAGGCCACGCAGGGGAGGGAAGCUAUGCCUGUCUGUUUUCCCCGCCCCUUAACGACGACCCCAUUCCAGCUCUCUGAGCUGGUCCCUGCAGGAGGAAUCUUUCUACUUCUGCUCUCAAACCCUUUGGGGAUCAAACUGGAAUAAAUCCCAAACAGCCAGGAGGACUGGGCAGCUGUGAAGCCAGGACUGACCCUCCUUCUGUCCCUCUGUCUCAGGAGGUUGGGCAGAUGCUGUGACCUGUUGCCUCUGAUCCCCACCCUUCCAGUCGGGGGCCUGGCUGGGCCCAGGGCCAGCAGACGUUGCGAGCCCUGUCGAUUCGGUCUUCACGCGUAACCAACCAAGUCUUAGAGCGGAAAGGUUAAUCUUCGUCACCCCCUGGGUCCGGCCAUCCAUCGGAUGCCCCAGGGAUUCCAGGCCAUCAGAACAAGAAGCUGAGCCAUGCUGCCCACCAGCAGGUCCUACGCAUGGAACCCUGGGAGCUCAGCUCAGACCCAGUUCUUUGGGGACAGAGAUUUGGCAUUUCACACGACGGCAUCCAGGAAUCGGGUGAGCCAACGGGCCAUGUGGACAGUUUUGGCCGAUGAGCCAGGGUUUCUCUGUGGCAUCUGGGAGCACAGUGACCCAGCCACCUGGCUCGGGCCACUUCCAAGUUCCAAAAGGUUGGCUUGUCAACCUUAGCCUCCCUCUCUCCUGCCCAGAGAAGGCACAUGUGCUUGAGUGUGUCCCAUGUACGUGCACGCGCACCCACGUAGGCACACAGAAUUUUAAGAGAGUGUUUUCUUGGUGCCAUUUUAUUUUAUUUUAUUUUGAAUUUUGGAAGGGGAGGAAGGGAAUGAGGCCAAGGAAGUUGUGCAGCUUUAGCUCCGGCCUGGCAGCCUGGAGAUUCCCAUACCUUGUGUAUCGAACCCCAGGAAAAGGAAGAGGUCGAAACAACACUACGGAAGGAGCGUGGUUUCAGGAGUUUAUUUUAAGACUGCUAGGAAGGAAACAGGCCCCAUUUUGUAUAUAGUUGCAACUUAAACUUUUUGGCUUGCAAAAUAUUUUUGUAAUAAAGAUUUCUGGGUAACAACGACC